CUUUGAGAGACUCCUGGGUUAUGUUGUUGUCAGCUGCCUGAAGUCCUCAGGUGACUGGGAGUGAGCCGGCGUGCUACCUGUGCCACCUCUCCUACAGGGUCUCCUCGGUGACCUGGCGGCCCCAGUGCGGGCUGACGUGUGAGCAGGUCGGCCUCUUCCCCCUCAGCGCCUCCGUCCAGUUCAUUCAGGUCCCUGCCCGGCUCCCCCGGCCCCUGACCAGAUUCCAGAUCAAUUUCACAGAGUAUGAUUGUAACAGAAACGAUGUGUGUUGGCCACAGCUUCUGUAUCCCUGGACCCGGUAUUACCAAGGGGAGCCUUACGCUCGGUGUGUGGCCAAGGGCCUGCUGCUGGCCUUCUUCUCCGUGGCGGCCCUGUUCCUCAGUGACCCCUGGACCAGAGGAAGCAGAUUGUGACCUCCCGCCACUCCCGGCCCUCAGGACCACAGACCUUCCUCCGGCGAUUUGCUGCACUCCGUGUACUGUUUUAAUAAGUGGAGGGUUUUG